rnacentral:rRNA from 1 species
AACGUAGGUUCCGAGCGUUAUCCGGAUUUACUGGGCGUAAAGCGCGUUCAGGCGGUUUGGCAAGUCGGGCAUGAAAUCUCUCGGCUCAACCGGGAGAGGUUGUCCGAUACUGCUGGACUUGAGGGCAGUAGAGGGUGGUGGAAUUCCGGGGUGUAGUGGUGAAAUGCGUAGAUAUCUGGAGGAAUACCGGUGGCGAAGGCGGCAUCCUGGACCGGCAUUGACGCUGAUGAGCGAAAGCUAGGGGGAGCAAACGGGG